rnacentral:lncRNA from 1 species
GACUAGAAUGUAGGAAAGCAGCCUGGCUAGAAAGGAUCUGCGGUCCCUAUUGUGACUCUGGAAACCCCUUAGACCAGGGGGUCCUGUCCACGUUUUCCUACAGAAUGUACAGAUAUCUACCUACAUCUCAGGUGAUCAAUCUACAUGCUGCAGUAGAGGGAAAUCUUAACACCAGCUCCUGAGAUGUCUCUUCUAGCUUGCCAUGGUCAUCUCCUUCAAUCUAGGAGCCAGCUAGACCCGAAUCUGUGAGGCAGCAGUCCGUGUCUGUGCAAAAUUAGUGAGUCCUGCCACGUUGAUAAACCAUGAGAAAAAGUCACACCUGGAUUCCCAAGGACCUAGGAUUCCUGACUUUAAGAUUUCUGUAUUGGUUAAAAGUCCCUUUGUUUUCGGUUCCUAACUGGCAUCUUCUAUGAUACUCUCAAACAGAUGUAAGAUUUAAUUGAAGCCUAAGUACUGUCCUCGCUGCGAUGCAUUUAUGGUUUCCUUAUAGCAGAAUGCGUUUGGGAAUUCAGCACACGACUAAGUGAAGCCUUGGGAACUCUUACGGAAAUGGAAUCCCAUCCCUCAAGAGAUUUUUCCCCCAUGGUUUGGAACUGGAUAGAAACUCGUCUGCACAGCUAAUGACGAGUAACUUAGAGGGUAAUUUGCUCUAUGCACAGCUCUUUACCAAGUGCUGAAGAGGAUCCAAGCCAGAGUCACGUCCUCAAGAACUUUAGAACUUAGUUGAGAAGGUGACACAUGGCCGAACCUUUCACUCCGGCCCUGUUUUUGCUUUCUGAUGCUAUAGCCUUGUGACUGAUAACACUGAGUUUAGAGCAAAAUGAAUUUUUGCCUGGGUGGCUCCCUGCCUCCUUCCUGCCUUCCUGUUUAGGAUCCCAGGACUAAGGUUCUUCCACAGACCCUAGCCUUGAUGAUGGGAAAGGGGGUGCCCAAUUUAUCCCUCCACCAGCCAAUGGCACCUCUUGGAAUCGCUCAAAGAUGCAUGUAUGUGUCUAGGACAUGAGCUGUGGUCCAAAUAGUUAGAAAAUAAUUAAGGUAUUUCACCCAACUCCUCCCCCCAGGGAAUCUCAGGGUAAGUAGGUCUGUGCUAACAAACAGUUUGGUAAAUAGUGACCUUAGUGACACAUUGCUGCCCUGGCACACAAUUUCAAGAGUUACGCUUGAGCAGAUUUUGCAUCGUUGCUCCUGGAAGUGAGGUUGUGGCAAGAUGCCAGCUGGAGAGUAGUGACCUCAGCAGAAAUGACGGAAGACCUUCCCGUGAUCAGCUUAGUCCUUCCUGACUCGGGGUGGGGGGAGAGGGGGGCCUAGAGAGUGGUAGGAGAUGAUACCAUGGAAAGAAGGGAGGAUGAAGGGGAAGAUGUCUGGAGAUUUUAAACACAGAGCUUAGAUAAGGAAGGAAAAAGUAACACACAUAUACAUAUGUGUAUAUACAUGUAUAUAUACAUAUAUACACUUGUAUAUCGUAUACACACAUAUAUGUAUGUAUAAGAGUCUCCUUGGGAUAUGUUAGAGCAAUGAUUUUAAAUCAGAGAAGCCAUGGGAAGAUUCUGUAAGAGGCAAGUGCCUGAAGGCACAUUUCACAUAGUUGAUUUGGGUGAGAUCCAGGGUGAAAGAUUGGCCUCAUUAAAAAAAAAAUCCGUUAAGAGGCUCAUCAGUAGCCUAGGUGCCAGGAAGAAAUGCAGCUCGGUUGGCACAGCGCUUGCCAGGGAUGCACGAGUCCCUGAGUUCAAUGCCCGGCACCAUACAAACCUGAACACAGGGGUGCACACCUUGGCUACAUGGCAAGUUUGGAGCCAGCGUGAGGUACAUCUGACUCUGUCUCAAGC